rnacentral:rRNA from 1 species
UACGAAGGGGGCUAGCGUUGUUCGGAAUUACUGGGCGUAAAGGGCGCGUAGGCGGUACUUCAAGUCAGGCGUGAAAGCCCCGGGCUCAACCUGGGAACCGCGCUUGAGACUGGAGAACUAGAGUUCGGGAGAGGAUGGUGGAAUUCCCAGUGUAGAGGUGAAAUUCAUAGAUAUUGGGAAGAACACCGAUGGCGAAGGCAGCCAUCUGGACCGACACUGACGCUGAGGCGCGAAAGCGUGGGGAGCAAACAGG